UGGUGGGGUGACUUGUCUGCUUAAUUGCGAUAACGAACGAGGCCUAAACCUGCUAAAUAGCCCGCAUUGCUCCGGCAGUGCGCUGGCUUCUUAGAGGGACUUUCGGCUCAAGCCGAAGGAAGUUUGAGGCAAUAACA
rnacentral:rRNA from 1 species